rnacentral:tRNA from 1 species
CCUUAUAGUUGAAAAACAACAUUAAAUUGCAGCUUUAAAAGUGUAGCCCUACUAAGGUUU